UACGGGGGGUGCGAGCGUUGUCCGGAAUCACUGGGCGUAAAGGGCGCGUAGGUGGUUUGAUAAGGGUGUGGUGAAAGUCCGGGGCUCAACCCCGGAUCUGCCGUGCCGACUGUCAAACUCGAGGGCUGUAGAGGCAGACGGAAUUCCGGGUGUAGCGGUGGAAUGCGUAGAUAUCGUCAGGAACGCCAAUGGUGAAGACAGGUGACUGGGCUAGUUCUGACACUGAGGCACGAAAGCGUGGGGAGCGAACGGG
rnacentral:rRNA from 1 species